rnacentral:rRNA from 1 species
UAGACUAAAGGAUUGAGUCAUAUUUGUAGGUGUAAAAGAUGGUUAAGAAGCGAGUUAAUGUAGUUAGAAGAUUUUUAGGGAAGUGAAAUUCAGAAGGAUUGGAUUAAUUAAAACUGCUUUGAUUUUGAUGCCAUGAAAUUUUUAAGGAAGACUGGGAUUAGAUACCCCAUUAUUAUUUUUGUAAAUUGAAAUAAUUUUACCAGAGUAUUACAAAUAAUAUUUAAAACUCAAAAGGCUUGGCGGUAUUUUAGAUUAUUUAGGGGAACUUGUCUCGUAAUCGAUAGUCCACGUUGAACCUUACUCUUUUUGUAUAGUAUGUAUACCGUCGUCGGCAGCUGACCUAUAAUAGUUUAGCAGUUAGCAAAUAAUAGAUUUUAUAUUGUACGACAGAUCAAGGUGCAGCUAAUAGAAGAGAGAGGAUGAGUUACAAUUGUUUAAUUACAAUAUGGAUAGUAAAUUUAAUUAGUUAUUUGAAGGGGGACUUAAAAGUAAAUUGUUAUAGAAAGAUUUAUUGAAUGAGUUCUGAAAUGUGC